rnacentral:rRNA from 1 species
UUGUGUAGUGCGAUGUGGGGACGGAGAAGGUUAACUCGGCCGGGUGUUGGAUGUCCCGGUUCAAGCAUGUAGUCGUGCUGCCUAGGCAAAUCCGGGCGGCUUAGAUGAGAUGUGAUAACGAGGCGGCUUGCCGCCGAAGCGAGUGAUACCCUGCUUCCAGGAAAAGCCACUAAGCUCUAGCUACACACGACCGUACCGCAAACCGACACUGGUGCGCGAGAUGAGUAUUCUAAGGCGCUUGAGAGAACUCUGGAGAAGGAACUCGGCAAAUUGACACCGUAACUUCGGAAGAAGGUGUGCCUUUAGUAGGUGAACCCGUACAGGGGGAGCCCAACGAGGCCGCAGAGAAUCGGUGGCUGCGACUGUUUAUUAAAAACACAGCACUCUGCAAAGACGAAAGUCGACGUAUAGGGUGUGACGCCUGCCCGGUGCUGGAAGAUUAAAUGAUGGGGUGCAAGCUCUUGACUGAAGUCCCAGUAAACGGCGGCCGUAACUAUAACGGUCCUAAGGUAGCGAAAUUCCUUGUCGGGUAAGUUCCGACCUGCACGAAUGGCGUAACGAUGGCCACACUGUCUCCUCCAGAGACUCAGCGAAGUUGAAAUGUUUGUGAUGAUGCAAUCUCCCCGCGGAAAGACGGAAAGACCCCAUGAACCUUUACUGUAGCUUUACAUUGGACUUUGAACAGAUCUGUGUAGGAUAGGUGGGAGGCUUUGAAGCGGCGCCGCUAGGUGUCGUGGAGCCAACGUUGAAAUACCACCCUGGUGUGUUUGAGGUUCUAACCUUGGCCCGUUAUCCGGGUUGGGGACAGUGUAUGGUGGGCAGUUUGACUGGGGCGGUCUCCUCCCAAAGCGUAACGGAGGAGUUCGAAGGUACGCUAGGCACGGUCGGAAAUCGUGCUGAUAGUGCAUAGGCAUAAGCGUGCUUGACUGCGAGACUGACAAGUCGAGCAGGUACGAAAGUAGGACUAAGUGAUCCGGUGGUUCUGUAUGGAAGGGCCACCGCUCAACGGAUAAAAGGUACUCUGGGGAUAACAGGCUGAUACCGCCCAAGAGUUCAUAUCGACGGCGGUGUUUGGCACCUCGAUGUCGGCUCAUCUCAUCCUGGGGCUGUAGCCGGUCCCAAGGGUAUGGCUGUUCGCCAUUUAAAGAGGUACGUGAGCUGGGUUUAAAACGUCGUGAGACAGUUUGGUCCCUAUCUUCCGUGGGCGCUGCAAGAUUGAGAGAGCCUGCUCCUAGUACGAGAGGACCGGAGUGGACGCACCUCUGGUGUAUCGGUUGUCACGCCAGUGGCAUUGCCGAGUAGCUAAGUGCGGAAGAGAUAACCGCUGAAAGCAUCUAAGCGGGAAACUCGUCUCAAGAUGAGUCUUGCCGGGGCCUUGAGCCCCCUGAAGAGUCGUUCUAGACCAGGACGUUGAUAGGCUGGGUGUGGAAGCGCAGUAAUGCGUUAAGCUAACCAGUACUAAUUGCUCGUGCGGCUUGACCCU